ACAGGGCAAGUGAUGAAUCUCAUUUUAAUGGGUAAUGUGCAUCUGAAACCUUUAUGAUGCUUUAUCACCUUGGAGAACUGAUGUCCUGC